rnacentral:rRNA from 1 species
UGACCAACCUGCCCCUAACUCUGGGAUAACCCCGGGAAAACCGGAGCUAAUACCGGAUACGAGACCGAGUGGCAUCACACGGUCUGGAAAGUUUUUCGGUUAGGGAUGGGGUCGCGGCCUAUCAGCUUGUUGGUGGGGUAAUGACCUACCAAGGCGACGACGAGUAGCCGGCCUGAGAGGGCGACCGGCCACACUGGGACUGAGACACGGCCCAGACUCCUACGGGAGGCA